rnacentral:tRNA from 1 species
CUAGAAGACUGGUUUUCACAGAUGCUGUGAAAGGUUUUUGCACCACUGGGCACCGCCACGUCCAUUUCCCCGCAGUCGAGCUAACACUGCGUGUUUUCUCACUUACAGGUUUUUAUUCCUGGGAGAGGGGGCCUAAGAUCCUUUCUCUUGCCUUCGACUUUCACUCUUGUUGAGUGAGGCUGAGCUGAGCGAUCAGAGCGUGGUCCCAGGAUUUAGUUCCCCAGGGGCCGGGGGCAGUACGCGCUUGUACCCACCUCUACCUGUGAUGUGCACCUUCCAUUUAAAGUCUUUCUACAGACGCUGCGCUGGAAUACAGCAAAAUAGCCAUGCCCUCUCUGAGGCUCGAACUCAGGACCUUCAGAUUAUGAGACUGACGCGCUGCCCACUGCGCCAAGAGGGCCGCCGGAGAAAUACCCUUCUUUACACUAAAGAGAAGUGCCUACAACCCCUUCUGCCGCCCGAGUUGACUACGCGUGUCCAUCUCUCCUGGCAGAGACCCGGGAGUCCCCGCCGUGGGUCCCAGGCCGCCGGGGCAUCUCGUCUUGAAGGGCAGAAGAGAGGCAUCAUUUCCCCUGAGCAGGGUUUCAUGUUUCAUUGUGGGAAAUUUCUGCUGCAGAUUCCCCGAAGGGACGGCUCCCAAGGACUCAUCACCCAUCCCAUUUACCCAGUGAUUACUACAGGAGCUCACCAUGUCUGCCACUAG